rnacentral:lncRNA from 1 species
AAUUAUCCUGGGUAUUCCUGUAUCAGAACUCUAAGACAAUCGAGAGUGCUUGAAAUACUAUAAGGAAAGUGUUGCGUUCACGAUUCAAGCCUGGAUCCCUUUAAUCUUUCCGAAAUUUCUAACAGUCUUAUAGUAUCUCAAAUCAUGGCCACCGACGCUUCUGUUUCAAGCAUCAAACUGAUGAAUCAGGACCUUGUUAAGUUAGAUCGUUUCGAUGGAAC